rnacentral:lncRNA from 1 species
AUAUAAAAGUACAUAUUGAAGCACAAUUUUUUUUUUCCAUAUAUGAUACUUACAUCAACCUUCAUCGCUGAUUUAUUUAAUCAACACGAUACAUUCAUCAGAGCUGAAUGGAAAUUGCAAUAACGCAACGUAUAAGUACAUAUUGAAGCACAAUUUUUAUUUUUGGAAAAAGAUAUCAUUUUCACCCCAUACUAUACAAGAAAAGUCUAAGCCAUACCUAAAUUAUAUAAGUGACCUAUUACACACCUUAACUAUAUAAAAGUGAUACUAUUACCUCCCCGCGACCCCCAUUCUAAGGGGUGUGUGUUACACUUAUUUUAGGCGCGUCCAGCCUAUUAAAUAACAAAAGUAAAUGGCUAAAAACAUUAAGGGAAAAGGUAUCGUUUCCACCCCAAACUAUAAUAGAAAAGUCGAAUCCACACCUAAACUAUAUAAGUGACCUAUUACACACUUUAACUAUAAAAAAAUGAUAUUUUUUACUGACGUGAUGCUGACGUGGCAGCGCGUGUAAAACUCUACACCACAUGCAAGUGGUGGUAGCCUGACAGGGUGUAAAUAGUUUCACUUUUUUAUAGUUUAGGGGUGUAAUAGGUCACUUGUAUAGUUUAGGUGUGGCUUCGACUUUUCAGGUAUAAUUUGGAAUGGAAACGAUGUUUUUUCCCUUUAUUUUUUUCAUAAAUGGUACGUACAUACAUCAACAAGAGCAUGCCUCACAGGGGCAUUGACAUGCGCAGUUCAUACAUAAACAAUCACUCGAUAACUUUCUUGAUUUUUGUGCAUCAUUUUUCAUCAGUUGUGAUGAGAUAGAAGAAGAUUCCCAUUCCCAUGGUUGUACAGAACUUGAUGUAGAUUCAAUAUGAAAAAUGCACAAAGCAAUAAUCAUGAUGAAAAUUAUUGUGUUUUUUGACAUGACUUAUUCUUUGGGAGUAUUAUUGUAAGCUAUAGUCUUAUCAAAUGGCACUUAAUAGCAACAUUAUUUAUAAUGUC